rnacentral:rRNA from 1 species
GAUGAACGCUGGCGGCGUGCCUAAUACAUGCAAGUCGAGCGCUGCGGGGGCGGGUGAGUAACACGUGGUUAACCUCCGAUACGUCCGCGUUAACUUGGGGAAACCCUAGCUAAACCGGAUAUUUAUAGGUGGAUCCGCGCUGCAUUAGCGAGUUGGUAAGGUAACGGCUUACCAAGGCAACGAUGCAUAGCCGACCGGAGAGGGUGAUCGGCCACACUGGAACUGAGACACGGUCCAGACUCCUACGGGAGGCAGCAGUAGGGAAUCUUCGGCAAUGGGCGAAAGCCUGACGGAGCAACGCCGCGUGAGUGAUGAAGGUCUUCGGAUCGUAAAACUCUGUUAUUAGGGAAGCGGUACCUAACCAGAAAGCCACGGCUAACUACGUGCCAGCAGCCGCGGUAAUUC